GUCGAGAGGCUUCGGCAAUGGGGGAAACCCUGACCGAGCGACGCCGCGUGGGCGAUGAAGGCCGUUAGGUUGUAAAGCCCUGUCGAGCGGGAAGAAACGCAGGUGGGCAAACAGUCCAUCUGUUUGACGGUACCGCUAAAGGAAGCUCCGGCCAACUCCGUGCCAGCAGCCGCGGUAAUACGGGGGGAGCAAACGUUGUUCGGAAUUACUGGGCGUAAAGGGCGUGCAGGCGGCCUUGUAAGUGGGAUGUGAAAUGCCCUGGCUCAACCAGGGAACUGCAUCCCAGACUGCAAGGCUUGAGUACAGGAGAGGAUGGGGGAAUUCCCGGUGUAGCGGUGAAAUGCAUUGAUAUCGGGAGGAACACCAGUGGCGAAGGCGCCCAUCUGGCCUGAUACUGACGCUCAGGCGCGAAAGCUAGGGGAGCAAACAGGAUUAGAUACCCCAGUAGUCC
rnacentral:rRNA from 1 species